rnacentral:rRNA from 1 species
GACAGAGGGUGCAAACGUUGUUCGGAAUUACUGGGCGUAAAGGGCGCGUAGGCGGCCGUUUGCGUCGGAUGUGAAAGCCCGGGGCUCAACCUCGGAACGGCAUCCGAUACGGGACGGCUGGAGACCGGGAGAGGAGAGUGGAAUAGCCAGUGUAGAGGUGAAAUUCGUAGAUAUUGGCUGGAACACCGGUGGCGAAAGCGGCUCUCUGGCCCGGUUCUGACGCUGAGGCGCGAAAGCGUGGGGAGCAAACAGG